UCUCUGUUAGUAUAUCGGUUAGUACACGCGCCUGUCACGACACAAGGCCGUGCGCGCGAAAGCGGGGUUCGACUCCCCGACAGAGAG